AACAAUACCAAGAGUCUUAUAAUCAAUAUUUCUACCAGUUGGUUUCAAAAUACACUCCACGAACAUAACCAACCCCAACUUAAAUUUAUCUAUAUAGUCUUCACAUGAAUGGAAUGCUUGAUGCAACAUUUCAUAUUAAUUCUUCUCAAACUAUUGAAAUAUUAAUUUAUAAGAUGAUGAUUAUUAUGAUUAAUCUCCACAAAUGAUUCAUGGCAUGGUAAUCCAGUGAUGAGACAAUAUUCUUGCAUACUAAAUCUGGCAACACGAUCACCUAAGCGUACCCACACAUGGUUAUUUUUACCACAGUGUAUAAGCCUCAUCACAAAUUCAUGUAUCAACUUACUUCUAAAUUGUUCCUCCUCUUCCCUAUACAUAACUCCCACAAAAAAUCCAUAGAAAUUGCUGCACAUAACAGAAGCCUAUUGAUUUGCAUCUAUAAAUUCAAAAAAAUCUAGGAGAUAUUGCCGAUUUAGAUAUUGACAAAUAGUAGCAGGGAACCAUUGAUCUGGAGAGGCAAUAUAUUUAAGAGAUAUCUACAUAAU
rnacentral:lncRNA from 1 species